rnacentral:lncRNA from 1 species
GAAAUGAAAGGUACGAAUGGCAGGGUGCGGACGCACCCUGCCAGGCGCCACCUUCAUCUUGCCAGACGCGAAAAAUUCGUGUCUGGCANAGGUGCCCCCCUUUAACCUAGUAUAAAAGGGGCACUGUAGCAUCCAUCCGGGGGGGGGCCCGAACCUGCAAACCAAAGAGAAAAUUGAGAUAAAAAAAAUCCCGAAAAGUAAAAAAAAAUCAAAUUCCUAGCUUUCUAACAGCCCCCAACAAUCCACAAAAAUCAAGAAAUAUACCAAAAUAUACCAAAAAUUCAUAAAUACACACAGUGAGAGAGGGAUUUUUUGGUUCAUUUUUUUUCUUUUGGGGGGGGGGGGGGGUUUGUUGCUGUCGACUAGGGAAGAAGACGCUGGGAUGGUAUCGUCAGUUAGGAUGGAAAAGCUUUGGGGUAGGUCACUGGCGGGAGGAAGGAACUGAGAGAGAGAGCUUCGGGUUGCGCCGCCAAUGUGAGGGCACCUACAGAUCUGCGGCAAAGGGGAGUUCGCCGGUAGGAGAAGACGUAAAGGGAGAGCUGACCGGCGGUGGUUGAGAGAUUUAGGGAGAAACUGGUCAUCGGAGGGAGGAAGGAGAGGAGAAGGGGAUUUGUUAGAAAG